GGCGUUGGAAGGGGAAUAUAGGGAAUCGACCUGCCCAGUGACUAAGAUGUUAAACGGCCGCGGUACCCUAACCGUGCAAAGGUAGCAUAAUCAUUUGCCUUUUAAUUGGAGGCUUGUAUGAAUGGUUUGACGAGAGCUAUGCUGUCUCUAUUAAAAUAAUUAGAAAUUAACUUUUAGGUGAAGAGGCCUAAAUUAAGCUGAGGGACAAGAAGACCCUGUUGAGCUUUAGUGUGGUUAAGUUAAUAAUUUUUUCAUUAAUGAAAAACAUUGUUUUAAUGAAUCUUUAGUUUUUGAGACUGACCAACAUAAAAAUCAUCCGGGGAAUCUUGGUCCCUCUCUUAAUUGAGGAUUUUCACCUAAAAAUUAAUUUCUAUUAUUUAAAAGAGACAGCAUAGCUCUCGUCAACCUUCGAACAAGCCCCCAUUAUAAGGGAAAGAUUAUGCUACCUUUGGGGGUGAGGGACGGGGGCGUUAAAAUCCUAAUCGGUGGGGAGGUCCAACUCCUAUUACGAAACUCCAGGGAACAUGUUUUAAAAAAAAGGGGGAG
rnacentral:rRNA from 1 species